rnacentral:lncRNA from 1 species
AUUGUUUUAAUCAACACAGAAAUCGAUAAAAAUAUAUUUACUUUUGUAAACCUUUAUGCCCCAAACACAUGUAAAGAUAGAAAUAUAUUCUUUAAAAAAGCUUUAAGUGUCAUUGAAAAAUAUAGUCUUGGUAUAAUUAUCAUAGGCGGUGAUAUGAAUGAAACGCUUAAUAUAAAAGAUAGAAAAAGUAAUAGAAAAGAUCAACAAAAAUAAAAAAUAAGACAAAUGGGCUAAAAACUCUGAUAAAAAAACUAAAAGUUAUAGAUAUAUGGAGAGCAAUAAAUCCAAAUAAAACGCAAUAUACCUGGAAAAGAAAAAAUAAUGAAGUAGCUAGUAGAAUUGAUUAUUUUCUAGUAGUCAAGAUGUGAGACCAAGAGUACUCAGCACUGAUAUACGACCUGCAACAAUUCAAUAUACAGAUCACUUAGCGAUUUCACUUAAAAUUAAUCAUUGUCAAGGGAACAAAGGAAAGGGAUACUUCAAAUUAAACAACAGUAUUCUUAAUGACGAAUCAUACAAAAUAAAAAUAAAUACUUUGAUAGAUAAAUAUGAAAAAUUAAGAAAUAAAAAAAGUCUAGCAAUCGUGUGGGAUCUCUUUAAAAUAGAAGUAAGAGAGAAAACUAUAGAACAUUGUAAAUUAAAAGCUAAACAUAAAAGAGAUGAAAUUACAAAACUCGAACAAAAACUUAAACUUUUGAAUGAAAUUCAUGAUAACAACCUGGAUGGAAAAAAUAAUAAUUUGCCAAAUAUAAUAGAUUCAAUAAAUAAAACAGAAGAAACGCUACAAACUCUAUAUUCAGAUAAAAUAAAAGGGGCACAAAUAAGAUCACGAGUUAAAUGGAUAGAAGAGGGCGAAAAAAAUACAAAAUAUUUCUUGGGAUUAGAAAAAUCAAGACAAACAAGGAAAAACAUUACUGCAUUAAGGACAGUAAAGGAGAAAUAACAGAAGAUCAAGGCAAAAUAUUAGAAACGGGGAGAAAUUAUUAUGUCAAUUUAUAUAAGUCAACUAACCCUGAUUUAAGAGAAAUUGAAAAUUAUAUUGAAAAAACUAAAAUAAAUUACAAAUUAAGUACACAAGAAGGUAAUGAAAUUGACGGCAACCUGACAAUAGAGGAAUGUACACAAUCUGUUUUUAAAAUGAAACUUAAUAAAACACCAGGUAUCGAUGGUCUCUCAAUUGAAUUUUAUAGAGCUUUCUGGUCCAACUUACAAAACUUUGCUGUAGAUGUUUUUAAUAAUUGCUAUGAAAAAAAAAGAAUUGACAAAUUCUCAGAAACUAGGAUUAAUUACCCUUAUAUACAAGAAAAACGACCCAUUAAAUUUAGAUAAUUAUAGACCAAUUACCUUACUAAAUGUAGAUACCAAAAUUAUAGCAUACUCUCUUGCACAAAGACUGAAACCAAUAUUGCAUAAAAUCAUUCAUAGUGAUCAAAACGGUUAUGUAAAAAAACAGAUAUAUUGGAUUUAAUAUUAGACAAAUCCAAGAUAUUAUAGAUUAUUCGGAAAAAUUCAAUGUAGAUGGAGCAAUCCUAUUUUUAGACUUCACAAAGGCAUUUGACUCGCUAGAAUGGGAAUUUAUGUAUUGUUCUUUAAAGAAAUUUGGUUUCCAGGAAUCUCUUUUGAGGUGGAUAAAUACUUUAUACACAGAUAUAAAGGGUUGCAUAUUAAAUAAUGGCUGGAUUUCAAGACCCUUCAACAUUGAGCGCGGAAUCCGUCAAGGGUGUCCCGCGAGUUCUAUAAUUUUCGUAAUUGCUGUUGAAAUUUUAGCUAGUAGAUUAAGACAAAAUAAAAAUUUUAAAGGUUUUCAAAUUAAACUAGAUAAUAAAACCCAUACAUUUAAAAUUAAGCCAGCUUGCAGACGACACCACUUUAUUUUUAAAUUCAAAACAAGAAGUGUCAUUAACUCUGAAUAUUAUAGAAAUUUUUGGAUCACUUUCAGGCCUAAAGCUUAACCGAAAUAAAACAGAAGGAAUAUGGCUCGGCAAUUUAAAGUCCUGCAAAGAUAAAGUUGAAAACAUUAAUUUUACACAAAAACCUAUAAAAGUUUUGGGAAUAUACUUUGGACUUAAUAAAAAUGAGUGUAAAAAAUUAAACUUGCAACGACAAUACGAAAAAUCUGAAAAAAUAAUUAAAGAUUGGAAUAAAAGAAAUUUAACUAUGUUAGGUAAGAUAACUCUUGUUAAAUCAUUAAUCUUACCGAAUAUUACUUACGUUGCAUCUGUAACCGAAAUUGAUAACGAAUACCUAGCAAAAUUUAAAAAAUUGAUAUACAGUUUUAUAUGGAAUAAUAAAUCAGAAAAAGUUAAAAGGGAUAUAAUAAGUAAAAAUUACCAUGCUGGCGGGCUUAAAAUGAUAAACAUAGAUAAAUAUCUAGAAGCGAUAAAUAUUAGU